rnacentral:rRNA from 1 species
UACGCAGGGGGCUAGCGUUGUUCGGAAUUACUGGGCGUAAAGCGCACGUAGGCGGGUUGUUAAGUCAGGGGUGAAAUCCCGGAGCUCAACUCCGGAACUGCCUUUGAUACUGGCAAUCUAGAGACUGGAAGAGGUUAGUGGAAUUCCCAGUGUAGAGGUGAAAUUCGUAGAUAUUGGGAAGAACACCAGUGGCGAAGGCGGCUAACUGGUCCAGUACUGACGCUGAGGUGCGAAAGCGUGGGGAGCAAACAGG